rnacentral:rRNA from 1 species
GAAUGUGCCUUCGGGAACCGUGAGACAGGUGCUGCAUGGCUGUCGUCAGCUCGUGUUGUGAAAUGUUGGGUUAAGUCCCGCAACGAGCGCAACCCUUAUCCUUUGUUGCCAGCGGUCCGGCCGGGAACUCAAAGGAGACUGCCAGUGAUAAACUGGAGGAAGGUGGGGAUGACGUCAAGUCAUCAUGGCCCUUACGACCAGGGCUACACACGUGCUACAAUGGCGCAUACAAAGAGAAGCGACCUCGCGAGAGCAAGCGGACCUCAUAAAGUGCGUCGUAGUCCGGAUUGGAGUCUGCAACUCGACUCCAUGAAGUCGGAAUCGCUAGUAAUCGUGGAUCAGAAUGC